rnacentral:rRNA from 1 species
GACGAACUGUCCUAACGUUGUUCGGAAUCACUGGGCUUAAAGGGCGCGUAGGCGGUCCGACAAGUCAGGGGUGAAAUCCUGCAGCUUAACUGCAGAAGUGCCUUUGAUACUGAGGAUCUUGAGUCCGGGAGAGGUGAGUGGAACUGCGAGUGUAGAGGUGAAAUUCGUAGAUAUUCGCAAGAACACCAGUGGCGAAGGCGGCUCACUGGCCCGGUACUGAACGCUGAGGCACGGAAAGCGUGGGGAGCCAAACAGG